rnacentral:piRNA from 1 species
GACAUCUGCAUGGAAUGAACAAAGGCUGCU